AUUGAACGCUAGCGGCAUGCCUAACACAUGCAAGUCGAACGGCAGCACGAGGAGCUUGCUCCUUGGUGGCGAGUGGCGGACGGGUGAGUAACGCGUAGGAAUCUACCUUAUAGUGGGGGAUAACCCGGGGAAACUCGGGCUAAUACCGCAUAAUCUCUACGGAGCAAAGUGGGGGACCUUUUAGGCCUCACGCUAUUAGAUGAGCCUGCGUCGGAUUAGCUAGUUGGUGGGGGAAAGGCCUACCAAGGCGACGAUCCGUAGCUGGUCUGAGAGGACGACCAGCCACACUGGGACUGAGACACGGCCCAGACUCCUACGGGAGGCAGCAGUGGGGAAUAUUGGACAAUGGGCGCAAGCCUGAUCCAGCAAUGCCGCGUGUGUGAAGAAGGCCCUCGGGUUGUAAAGCACUUUUAGUGGGGAAGAAAAAGUCGGAGAUAAUAUCUCCGAAAAUUGACGUUACCCACAGAAAAAGCACUGGCUAACUCUGUGCCAGCCGCCGCAGUAA
rnacentral:rRNA from 1 species